GCCUCCGUGGUGUAAUUGUAAGCACACUCGGCGCGUAUUCGAGAUAUCCGGGGUUCGAGUCCCAGCGAGGGCA
rnacentral:tRNA from 1 species